GUGCCCUUUCAGAACUAACACAGAGGUUCCAGAGCUUAACACAGCAGGGGAAAGUAAGUCUUGACAAAACCCAGAGAAGCGGUUGUCACCUCUGCUUUGGACCUGUCUGAAGUCAUAGCU